rnacentral:rRNA from 1 species
GAUGAACGCUGGCGGCGUGUCUAAUACAUGCAAGUCGAGCGAACAGACGAGGAGCUUGCUCCUCUGACGUUAGCGGCGGACGGGUGAGUAACACGUGGAUAACCUACCUAUAAGACUGGGAUAACUUCGGGAAACCGGAGCUAAUACCGGAUAAUAUAUUGAACCGCAUGGUUCAAUAGUGAAAGACGGUUUUGCUGUCACUUAUAGAUGGAUCCGCGCCGCAUUAGCUAGUUGGUAAGGUAACGGCUUACCAAGGCAACGAUGCGUAGCCGACCUGAGAGGGUGAUCGGCCACACUGGAACUGAGACACGGUCCAGACUCCUACGGGAGGCAGCAGUAGGGAAUCUUCCGCAAUGGGCGUAAGCCUGACGGAGCAACGCCGCGUGAGUGAUGAAGGUCUUCGGAUCGUAAAACUCUGUUAUUAGGGAAGAACAAAUGUGUAAGUAACUAUGCACGUCUUGACGGUACCUAAUCAGAAAGCCACGGCUAACUACGUG